CUUCCCUGGAGCCCUCAUGUCCAUCCCAGGGGAUGCCUGGAUAGCUUUUGUGCAGGGUAGGACACAAAUGCAGCACAGAUGUUUGUCUGCCCAGCUCAGACACAGCCAGCACAGCUCCCUGCACCUCAUCACGGGGAUACUUCUGCCGUUCUCCAGGCCAUGCUUAUCCACAGCUGACAGGUACCAAGACCCUCUGUUUCAGCACAUUGCAGGAUCGGGACCAUCAUGAAUAAAUAAAAGCCAGAUGGGCAUGGAUUAUAUUCAUGGUAUCACACAAGCUGUGAGCUGGAGGAGUGCAGCUUCCAGAUAUGAGCACAGAAGAAAAAUGGGUCUCCUAUGAAGCAUGGAACUGCACAGGCUUCCCCUGGGUUCCUCAGGUGAAUCUGUGGCCUGAUCUCCUGUGGUGGCCAAAAAAAAUGGGGAGGUGGGAGGGCCUCUUGACAAACCCAGGGAUGAGCUCUUCCUAAAAUCUGCAGAGCCAACGUGAAGCAAGGGGAGCAGCAAUGUCUCUGCUGACCUGGAGAGGGAUUAAAUUAUUUGUUUAAAACCUCUUAAACAUGGUUCCCAAGCCAUUUGAAAAGAAUGGUCACCUUCACACUGCAUCCAAGGAGCAUAAAGGAGGGAUGCAGUUGUCUGAAGCAGAACAGCCCUCAGAGCUUUAACUAACCCCCAACGGCUUCUUCCUCCUGUAAAACAGUCCCAGGUCCUCCAGGAAGAGUAAGUUCAUGGCUGUUAGGAGUCUGUUGUGCAACCAUCACAGGAGGACAUGUACCACCAAGGGAAGUGGCUUUGGUGUGUGGCAGAUCUGUGCAAGCAAUGACAAACAGCCCUGACAUGACCUGAGCUGGGACUUUGUUCUCAGCCUGUGCCGAGGACUUGUGAUGAUACAGUACUUAUGUUCUUGGGGACGUUGUAAAGCCAUGAGCUGAUAUCUAUUGAACAUGUCAUUUGUAUUCCCACGCUGGUUUUUAAGCAAAUCUGUCAAAUAAAACCAAAAAAAGAAUGAGAAGAGGAAUGCAAGGGAGGGAUUACAUAAGGAAUUGGCUGCGCUGGCAGCCGUGGUCACUCCGGGUGCUGGUGAGUCCAUGGCUCUGGUGUCCUCUGAGAGGAGGGAGAAAUGUCCCUCAGAAGCAGGUCUGGAACAGGGAUCAGCAUCCCAGACCACCGGCUGGGACCCCAGCAGGGGCUCAGGGCCAUAGGUUUGGCCAUAGUCUGCUGCUUCCCCCCUGGUCCUCAGCAUCCUCCCAGCUCUGGGGCUGCUUUGCAGUGGAUCAGCUCCCUCUCAACAGACAAGCUCUGAGCUCCUUCCCACCCUCCUGCUGGCUUUUUGAUCUGGCUUUUAAAGACAUCAUUACUUUUCAGGAUAAUUUUUUCAUUUGGCCCAUUUUGGCACUUUCUGAGCAGCCAGCUACUGAAAAAGAAGGUGUCUUCAGGCAGAUCAGCAACGUGGGUCCUUCUUCAAACGCUCACAGUGAGCCCCCAGCACCACAGGCAAGGGACCUUGGGGAGAGGAAACAUAAAUCUGCCAUCUGUGGCAAUUUAGCAUUUACCAGUCAUAUUGCACCAGGGCACUGUCACUUUGAAUGAAUGUUAAAGCACUUCCUCUGCAUGGCCUGAACAGUCUCCCUUUCCCAUCAAAUUGGCCAUGGCAUGCUGUAAUAAAAUAGACAUACUGAGGCUGCAAAGGGUCACUCAGGGGGGACUGGCAUUAACUCAGGGAGGUCCCCUUUUGAAGAAGGCAUUCAAUUAAAGUUUUAUUGCAAUUCUGCAGUGUGAAGCCACAAGGAGGAGGCUCAGUAGCUGUGCUGGGAUUUUAAAUUAGCAGCUGAGUAGGAAUUUGCCAGUGAUCCUGGGUGUGAGCAGCAGAGAGUCAACUGUGCUCCACUGCAGGAGCAACAUCCAAGGAAAAUACAGUGGUGGAACUGUGCACUUGGCUUGGCUUUGUAUGACUAGCGGGAUGAGCAAGGAAUAGCGUGGGAUCAACUGGGAGCAAACAUUGUGGAAGGAUGAAAGGAUCUGCCAUGGUGAGAGGCACAAGGGGUGGCUCUGGGAGCUGGGGCUCAGCCAGCACUUUGGAAGGUGAGAUUUGGGUGAGUCCUGCAAUCCAGGAGGAGUUUGCCUGAAGAAAAGGUGUUAGGUUAGGCCCACUGCCUUUGAGCACAAAUAUUUGUGCUCUCCAGCAAGAUUUCCUCUUGCAAACAGCACUUGAGAGCUGGCAGCCUUCAGCCAGCAGCAGAGAAAUGCUUCCAGACUCCCACCUUUCCUAUCAGUUAUGUCAUUUCCCCUGAAACAUCUGGAAGAGUCAGCACAUCUCAUGGAUGCAGCAGUGUCCAGAGGCAUUUGGGAUUUGCAGUGAAUGGAGGCAAACAGGGAUGUGAUCCUCUGAUACAGCAAUGAUGGAGAUUAUCAUACCAGGCCAGGUGUGUGCCUGUCUUCUUGCUGGACACAGGGCUGGGUGCUGGCUCUCCUCUGCACAUUUUAGGAUCCCUGGUCAGGAAAUCAGCCUCAGGAAUUGCAGGGCAUUGUGCAGGAGGAGAUCCCGCAUUCCUGCCGAGCAUCCCCGAGUCCCAGACAUGUUAAGGACACAGGUUUGCAUGGAUGCUCAGGUGCAGGGGUUUGGAGCUCAACCCUCGCCACUGCAAUGGCAGAGGAGGGUGAACUGCUGCAAAGGAGCAGGGCUCUGUGCCCAGCUUUCAGCCGUAAGACUUGCUUUCAAAAACUCAAUCAAGCGGUGUUUUGCACAGGAAAAAACUGUCAGAUGUUUAAUUACCAGCCAUCGUUACUGCGUUACCAUAAUGUGAGCGAAUCGACGCUGCUCUGCCACCGCCAGAUGUUCACACUCCGGCUCGUUACAGCGGUGAUGAGCUCGGUGCUUGAUGAGCUCGGUGCUGCCCGGUCCCGGCUGGGAGCCAGGGCCAGCAGCCCCUGCCUGGGGCAGGCACAAAGCCGGGAUAAAGAGCUGUAAAGUGUUCCAGCCCUCGGCGUAAAAAUAGCCUGUGCAGUUAAAGCAGAUGGGCUAAAAACCUGCGGAAGGGCAAUCAGCCCUCACGCACCAGGGCUCAUGAGGCUUGUCAGCUAAGGGUCAGGAAGAAAUUUGUCCUGGGGGUGAUGGUAUCUAAUGGACUGUGUUAGGAGCUGAAAUGCUCGGCUGAGAACAUGCUGCUGGAAAACAGGCUGCCAGACCUGACAGUCCACAGCGUUGUUCUGCUACGUUUUUGUAUUUUAAAUGUUAAACGCAGUGUUAAUGUUGUAA